UUAAGCGACUAAGCGUACACGGUGGAUGCCCUGGCAGUCAGAGGCGAUGAAGGACGUGCUAAUCUGCGAUAAGCGUCGGUAAGGUGAUAUGAACCGUUAUAACCGGCGAUUUCCGAAUGGGGAAACCCAGUGUGAUUCGUCACACUAUCAUUAACUGAAUCCAUAGGUUAAUGAGGCGAACCGGGGGAACUGAAACAUCUAAGUACCCCGAGGAAAAGAAAUCAACCGAGAUUCCCCCAGUAGCGGCGAGCGAACGGGGAGGAGCCCAGAGCCUGAAUCAGUGUGUGUGUUAGUGGAAGCGUCUGGAAAGGCGCGCGAUACAGGGUGACAGCCCCGUACACAAAAAUGCACAUACUGUGAGCUCGAUGAGUAGGGCGGGACACGUGGUAUCCUGUCUGAAUAUGGGGGGACCAUCCUCCAAGGCUAAAUACUCCUGACUGACCGAUAGUGAACCAGUACCGUGAGGGAAAGGCGAAAAGAACCCCGGCGAGGGGAGUGAAAAAGAACCUGAAACCGUGUACGUACAAGCAGUGGGAGCACGCUUCGGCGUGUGACUGCGUACCUUUUGUAUAAUGGGUCAGCGACUUAUAUUCUGUAGCAAGGUUAACCGAAUAGGGGAGCCGAAGGGAAACCGAGUCUUAACUGGGCGUUAAGUUGCAGGGUAUAGACCCGAAACCCGGUGAUCUAGCCAUGGGCAGGUUGAAGGUUGGGUAACACUAACUGGAGGACCGAACCGACUAAUGUUGAAAAAUUAGCGGAUGACUUGUGGCUGGGGGUGAAAGGCCAAUCAAACCGGGAGAUAGCUGGUUCUCCCCGAAAGCUAUUUAGGUAGCGCCUCGUGAAUUCAUCUCCGGGGGUAGAGCACUGUUUCGGCAAGGGGGUCAUCCCGACUUACCAACCCGAUGCAAACUGCGAAUACCGGAGAAUGUUAUCACGGGAGACACACGGCGGGUGCUAACGUCCGUCGUGAAGAGGGAAACAACCCAGACCGCCAGCUAAGGUCCCAAAGUCAUGGUUAAGUGGGAAACGAUGUGGGAAGGCCCAGACAGCCAGGAUGUUGGCUUAGAAGCAGCCAUCAUUUAAAGAAAGCGUAAUAGCUCACUGGUCGAGUCGGCCUGCGCGGAAGAUGUAACGGGGCUAAACCAUGCACCGAAGCUGCGGCAGCGACACUAUGUGUUGUUGGGUAGGGGAGCGUUCUGUAAGCCUGCGAAGGUGUACUGUGAGGUAUGCUGGAGGUAUCAGAAGUGCGAAUGCUGACAUAAGUAACGAUAAAGCGGGUGAAAAGCCCGCUCGCCGGAAGACCAAGGGUUCCUGUCCAACGUUAAUCGGGGCAGGGUGAGUCGACCCCUAAGGCGAGGCCGAAAGGCGUAGUCGAUGGGAAACAGGUUAAUAUUCCUGUACUUGGUGUUACUGCGAAGGGGGGACGGAGAAGGCUAUGUUGGCCGGGCGACGGUUGUCCCGGUUUAAGCGUGUAGGCUGGUUUUCCAGGCAAAUCCGGAAAAUCAAGGCUGAGGCGUGAUGACGAGGCACUACGGUGCUGAAGCAACAAAUGCCCUGCUUCCAGGAAAAGCCUCUAAGCAUCAGGUAACAUCAAAUCGUACCCCAAACCGACACAGGUGGUCAGGUAGAGAAUACCAAGGCGCUUGAGAGAACUCGGGUGAAGGAACUAGGCAAAAUGGUGCCGUAACUUCGGGAGAAGGCACGCUGAUAUGUAGGUGAAGCGACUUGCUCGUGGAGCUGAAAUCAGUCGAAGAUACCAGCUGGCUGCAACUGUUUAUUAAAAACACAGCACUGUGCAAACACGAAAGUGGACGUAUACGGUGUGACGCCUGCCCGGUGCCGGAAGGUUAAUUGAUGGGGUUAGCGGUAACGCGAAGCUCUUGAUCGAAGCCCCGGUAAACGGCGGCCGUAACUAUAACGGUCCUAAGGUAGCGAAAUUCCUUGUCGGGUAAGUUCCGACCUGCACGAAUGGCGUAAUGAUGGCCAGGCUGUCUCCACCCGAGACUCAGUGAAAUUGAACUCGCUGUGAAGAUGCAGUGUACCCGCGGCAAGACGGAAAGACCCCGUGAACCUUUACUAUAGCUUGACACUGAACAUUGAGCCUUGAUGUGUAGGAUAGGUGGGAGGCUUUGAAGUGUGGACGCCAGUCUGCAUGGAGCCGACCUUGAAAUACCACCCUUUAAUGUUUGAUGUUCUAACGUUGGCCCCUGAUCGGGGUUGCGGACAGUGUCUGGUGGGUAGUUUGACUGGGGCGGUCUCCUCCUAAAGAGUAACGGAGGAGCACGAAGGUUGGCUAAUCCUGGUCGGACAUCAGGAGGUUAGUGCAAUGGCAUAAGCCAGCUUGACUGCGAGCGUGACGGCGCGAGCAGGUGCGAAAGCAGGUCAUAGUGAUCCGGUGGUUCUGAAUGGAAGGGCCAUCGCUCAACGGAUAAAAGGUACUCCGGGGAUAACAGGCUGAUACCGCCCAAGAGUUCAUAUCGACGGCGGUGUUUGGCACCUCGAUGUCGGCUCAUCACAUCCUGGGGCUGAAGUAGGUCCCAAGGGUAUGGCUGUUCGCCAUUUAAAGUGGUACGCGAGCUGGGUUUAGAACGUCGUGAGACAGUUCGGUCCCUAUCUGCCGUGGGCGCUGGAGAACUGAGGGGGGCUGCUCCUAGUACGAGAGGACCGGAGUGGACGCAUCACUGGUGUUCGGGUUGUCAUGCCAAUGGCACUGCCCGGUAGCUAAAUGCGGAAGAGAUAAGUGCUGAAAGCAUCUAAGCACGAAACUUGCCCCGAGAUGAGUUCUCCCUGACUCCUUGAGAGUCCUGAAGGAACGUUGAAGACGACGACGUUGAUAGGCCGGGUGUGUAAGCGCAGCGAUGCGUUGAGCUAACCGGUACUAAUGAACCGUGAGGCUUAACCUU
rnacentral:rRNA from 1 species